UCUUAGGGCCAUAGCACCCUGAACGUGCCCGACCUCAUCUGAUCUCGGAAGCUAAACAGGGUUGGGCCUGGUUUAGUACUUGAAUGGGAGACCGCUUGGGAAUAUCAGGUACUGUAGGCU
ensembl:rRNA 5S_rRNA 5S ribosomal RNA